AUUGAACGCUGGCGGCAGGCUUAACACAUGCAAGUCGAGCGGGGUGAUGGUGCUUGCACUAUCACUUAGCGGCGGACGGGUGAGUAACGCUUAGGAAUCUGCCUAUUAGUGGGGGACAACAUCUCGAAAGGGAUGCUAAUACCGCAUACGUCCUACGGGAGAAAGCAGGGGAUCACUUGUGACCUUGCGCUAAUAGAUGAGCCUAAGUCGGAUUAGCUAGUUGGUGGGGUAAAGGCCUACCAAGGCGACGAUCUGUAGCGGGUCUGAGAGGAUGAUCCACCACACUGGGACUGAGACACGGCCCAGACUCCUACGGGAGGCAGCAGUGGGGAAUAUUGGACAAUGGGGGGAACCCUGAUCCAGCCAUGCCGCGUGUGUGAAGAAGGCCUUAUGGUUGUAAAGCACUUUAAGCGAGGAGGAGGCUCUUUUGGUUAAUACCCAAGAUGAGUGGACGUUACUCGCAGAAUAAGCACCGGCUAACUCUGUGCCAGCCGCCGCAGUAACAC
rnacentral:rRNA from 1 species